GACAAAAGCAAGUGAAGGCAUUCAAACAAAUCAUUCAAAGUCGGAAACUGGGUUUGAUGGGACAUCUAUAGCAUGUAGAAAUAUUUAUGAAAAAUGGGGAAAGGCCUGCAGGGAGCACAGUGGGGCGAUUCCUUAUAAAAUCACUUGGAAGUGCUGGGGGCUUCUUCAUCAGCCCUAACCCUGCCAACCACUCCUGCCUCACUGAAUGUGCCAACGGAUUGCUCAGCUCCAACCAAGGAAAAGAAGAAGGAAGUUGGAUACUUUAUACCCUCUACAUUGUCCAUUAGCAACACAACCUAGAGCUAGGAUGGAGAAAGAAAAUGCCAAAAUGCUAAUGAAAAAUGUUCAGAUGUAUCACAUAUUAAGCAUACAUGAUCUCAAAUAUUUUG
rnacentral:lncRNA from 1 species